ensembl:lncRNA
GCACUUGUUAGGGAGUAUGUAUAUAACUGCUGCCGGAGCACGUGGAUGUAGCGGGGAAUGACGUGCAGGGGGCAUCAAUCAAUCCUGUUCAAGCCAUAGCGUUCCCUGGGAAUCUCAGCACAAGCUUGGCUGGGUAGAGGAGGCUGUUAGAGACCAAGUGCAGGUGUGUCCAGAUGGAGCAGAGCAGUGCGAGCCCUAGAAGAUGCCCCUGAGGAACCUGGCCUGCCCUCACGCAGCUCUAUUCCCACUGUUCCGAGCAACUGCAGGAAUGGUUUCAGGAGCAGCCAUAGCUCUGCCUUCUGCCACAUAAAUCCUCGGCAGGAGUUCACCGGGCCGAACCUUAAAGAUGAUGACUCACUUUACAGAGAUCUCUCCCAUUUUUCAUCUCCUGGCGUCUGAGCGCAUUGGUGCUGCUCUCCUGCCAGGAUGUGAAGAGCCGUGAAAAAUCUGAUCUCUCUGACGCUGAUGUUAAACUAUGGCAAAUAAAUACACUGCUCCAAUGCAGUUACAGCUGUCCGGGUUGUUCCAGUGCCCUGUAUGAAGUUGUCAUCCAAAUAAGUAACUGUUUGCUUGAUCUCCAUUUUACCCAUAAGCGUUUUCCGGGGAGGGGGGGAAGAAUGAUAACAAAUCAAAAAUGGGCUAUUCCCUGUGGGCUUCUUUCCCUUUUAUUACAGGGGUUUGAUGGAUCUUAUCUCACCUUGGUGCAUCUCUCUGCUUAAAUCUGAUUCAGCACAUGAAAAGUCCAGCAGCAGACUCCUGCGACCACGCCUGCAAGCCAGACGCAACAUGGGAAUUGAAGAAUAAAGGCCAUCAACUUCCCGUGACUCCCCUUCUACUACCUUCCUCCUCUUGCUCCAAAUUGUUUUGAAAACAUUG